AAAAACAAAACAUCAAAAUUAAAGCCCACUUCCUUAGAAAGUUCCACACCUGUCCCUCCAUAAUUUCCUGACAGUUUAUCUUUCCCAAAAGCUCCCUUUCCUAUUCAAAACAACACUCCCUUAAUAUCCUAAGAAUCAUCUUUUCAAAACAUGUUACUCCAACAUUUUGAUUUCCAUAGAGCAGACCUUCAUUUUCCUCACAAAACCUCAGUCUAGUUCUUUGACCCAUUCGUCCUCUAGCAUUUUGACUGCAUGCCUUGGUACCACUCCUUCCAGGUAAAAUCCUCUCAUUUGCUUUAGACUUUCAAUGGCUAUGAUGUCUGCCAAAGUGUUUGCUAUUUGAUGGACAUGUUGAAAUUUUACGUCUUCAUAACAUGUGCAUGUGCCUCUACUGCGAAAGUCAAAUUAACAUUCUCGUGUAUGAUCGCUCUAAAGGCAAUCACUCUUCCUUUUCUGUUUCUGGCAACUAUCCCCGAGCUUGAUCUAAAAAGAUCUUGAUUAAACCCUGCGUCAAAAUUAAUUUUUAUGUCUUCUCCAGCAAUUGGGACCCAUGAGUCUCUAAUUUGUGCCUUUGUAAGUCCAGUUUCCUCUAGUCUGUCCAACUCUAUUUUGUAAUUUUGAAUAAAAGAGACAAUAUCUUUACUGGAUUUCUUUAUCUUUUCAUGUACAUAUUUGUUUCUCUCUGUCCAAAGGACCCAAAGGGAUACACAGAUCAUUCGCUUCUGGGAAUUUAAGUAAUUAUCAAAAGCCCAGGUAAGCCAUUCAAACUAUUCAGGCACCAUACUCUGAUUUAGCCAUUCUAAGUUCACUAAUAGCCAUACUUCUACUGAAACAGGAUAGUAAAGAAAAACAUGCAUUAUGUUUUCUGCUGCUUCCCUACAUCUUAGGCAGUUUGUAUUUGUUAUUAAUCUCUUGAAAUGUAGAUUUACUUUAGUGGGCAUGUAGUUUUUUGAGAUGUGCCAUACUAUAAGCAUAAUUUUAGAAGGGAGUAUUAGACUCCACAAUGCUCGAUAGAAAUUCCUAGAUGAUAGUUGUAAAGUGUUUAAUGUAGGAGUAGGAAUACCAAUCUAUAAUAGUUUAUAAGCACUCUGCACUGAGAAUACUCCCGAUGGUUCACCCCUCCAGGUGACUUCAUCUUCUUGUGAAAUUGCUGCUAAUGGGAGACGAAGGAUCCUACCCGUAUCAACCGUGUUAAAGGUUUUGGAGAUUAUUUCUUUCCUCCAUUCUCUCUUAUUAUUAUCAAUAAGCUGUGCAACAUACUCCAAAUUACAAUUAAUAACUAGAUGACUUAACCUAUAAUUUUCAAAACCUAGUAACCAUGCAUGAUUAAAAAUGGAGACAUUAUCGCCUUUUCCCACUCUCCAACAUGUUCCUUCCUGAAGCACUUUCUUCGAUACCCAUAUACUUUUCCAUGUGUAAGACGCAUUUGGUUUUAAUGUUGCCUACAAAAAAUCCGAAUUUGGGUAAUAUUUGGCUUUAAGAACUUUUACAAAUAAUGAUUCUGGGUUCAUAACAAGUCUCCAUCCUUGUUUUGCUAAUAAGGAUACAUUGAAAUUUGCCAAAUUUUGAAAACCCAGACCUUCGUUUUCCUUCAAUUCACAUAACUUUCCCCACUUACACUAAUGUAAACCCCUUUGUUCUUGAGAUUUCUACCACCAAAACCCGGCCAUUAUUCCUUCCAUUUCUUUACAGAGUGUUUUUGGGAGUAAAAAGCAUGUCAUAGAAUAGGUUGGAAUAGAUUGUAAAACUGCUUUAAUAAAAACUUCUUUUCCUCCUUGCGAUAAGAAUCGUGUGCUCUAAUUAUCAAUUUUUCUUUUCUUUCGAUCCUUUAAGGUUUGAAAAGAGGCUUUUUUUCCUUCUAUCAAUUAUAUUAUCAAUUAUAUUAGGGAUAGCCAAGUACUUCUCUGCAUUAUUUGAAUAUCUCACUCCCAUAUCGUUAGAUAAUUGUAGUCUCACAUUUUCGAGAGUAUUUGCACUAAAGAAAACUGUAGAUUUUUCAAAAUUUAUACAUUGUCCUGAGCAGUCUUCAUACUCUUUCAAUAUGUUUUUCAAGGCGAUUACUCCUCUAGUUGUAGCUUCUCCAAAGAGUAUGCAAUCAUCGGCAAAAAGUAGGUGUAAAAUUGAUGGCCCACUUUAACUUGUCCUAACCUCCUUUAGUUUUCUCUCUUUUAGCUAGACGCAUAAAAGUAGAUAAACCCUCACUGCAAAUCAGAAAAGAGAAAAGGGCUUAAUGGGUCCCCUUGCCUUAGCCCCCUUGUAGGUCGAAACUUCUCUCGUCUUAGCUCGUUUAUGCUUACUAAAUAUGAAACAGUUGAAAUGCACUCCAUCACCAUAUCUACCCAGGCCUUCGCGAAACCCGUUUCAGUCAUCAUUUCUCACAAAAAACCCCAUUCCACAUAAUUGUAAGCUUUACUCAUGUCCAAUUUUAAGGCCAUUAACCCUUUACUUCCUCCCCUUUUUUGACCAAAAGUAUGCAAAACUUCAUAUGCUAAUACGAUAUUGUCUGAUAUCAGUCUGCCCAGGACGAAAGCACUUUGUGAGUUAUCCAUACAUAAAUCAAGGACCAUUUGUAAGCAGUUUGCCACCAUUUUACUUACAACCUUAUAGAUGACCUUACACAAGUUAAUAGGUCGAAAACUAGUCAUAUUGAUAGGGUUUUGGGUCUUCGAGAUUAUAACUAUAUUAGUAACAUUUAGUUUAUCCAUGCUCUUUCUUCUGUUAAUGACAUGUAAGCAAAAUAAACUAACCUCUUUUCUGACAAUAUGCCAACAACGUUGAAAAAAAGGGCCGAAAAAUCGUCAAUACCUUGCUUAAGCCCUUUUUUCAGACAAUAUGCCAGCAACCUCUUUUCUAUUUGAUAUUUGGGCUCCAUCUCAUCAAACUUCUACCUAAACCCUUUAAUUUUUGUAAUAAAUCCCCAAUUGUCAUACUCCAAAUUCUUUAAACUUCCUCCUCAAGCGUCUAUUCCAUCAUCCACCAAGCUUCAAAAUAAAAGUCUUUUUUAUUCCUCUAUCUACCUUGUUGUUCUAAUUGAAUUAGGAAAGGGCAAUGGUCAGAGAAUGAAUGUGGUAGAUGACUAAUUGAAGCAUGGAUAAAUUGUAAUAGCCAACUUGUAUUUGCCACUCCCCUAUCAAGUCGCUCCCUUAUAUUGGUUUCCAACGAAUUUCCCCUUUUUCCAUGUAAACCAUGGGCCUGAGAAACCCACAUCAUAAAGGCCACAUUCCGGUAAUAUUUCUCGAAAUUGCUCUAUUCGUUUUCUUCUCUUGGUUGGCCACCCUUUUUCUCAGAUGCGUAUAGAAUUUCAUUGAAGUCUCCACAAACUAACCAUGUAAGAUUAAAAUUCAUACUCAGUCUUCAUGGCACGAGUCAUUUCUUCCGUUUGCAUAUAGAGAACCGUAAAAUCUCGUGAAACGCCAUUCCAAUUGCUGCUCUUCUGAUUUGAUCAUCACGUUUAUAUAGUUUCUUAAGAAGCUUUGUAAUGUAAUAUCCUCCUCUUCUUUCCAUGCUAAACACAAACCUCCCUUAGUCCAAUCCGCUCCCACCUCAAUUCCGUUAAUGAAAUUGUACCUCAUUAUGAUUGAUUCCAUCUUACUCUUAUCAAUUUUUGUCUCUAUAAAGAAAACAAUUUAGGUUUUAUAUAACUUUAGUACAUUCCAAAGUCUACGUACUGCCCGUGGGUUUCUCAAACCACGGACGUUUCAGCAUAAAAUUUUCAUUGCGCCCGAUCAGCAAGCCGACAGGCUGCCGCUGGUCCUAUUUGAGAUGAAAUUUUUUCUUCCUCUAUCUUGUCACCUUUUCCAACCAUGUUUUCUUUAAUUUUUAGUUCCCCCACUAUUUUUUUCCCUUUUACUUUUAGCCGUAUUUGGGUUGUUCAAUUCUGUAUUCUCGAGAUUAUCCCAAUCCUCUUUUAUUUUCUGACAGAUAGGUCCCCUUCACUUUGAUCCAUUGGUGCGCUGUUUCUUAUUCUUCUCCAUCCUUUUUGUGGCCCCUUAAGUCCAUCAAUAAUAUUUUGAGAGAAAACUAUUUGGCCCAUUUUCAUAGCUGGAGAAAAAUUGGCCUACGUUGAAUGCCCAUUAUGUUCUCUUGUAUCCUUAAUAGGACUUUGAGGGUGUGAGAUUUCUAUGUUACGUUUCGCAUUACCCUCACUCCAAGCUUUCUCCUUAUCUUUUUCCUUAAAAUCUUAUCGUAACCAAUUUGAGUUCAAGUUGGUAUCGACCUCUAAUAUUCCCAAACUGCCCUUCAUCGGCGUCCCCUUUCUCCCCUGAACAGUAUUAGAAAUUGAAUUGUCCUCUAUUCCUUCAUUAGAUAUUCCUAAGUAGUAGCGUUAUGGCAUUGAUUUAUUCAUGGUGACUCACAGCUGCAUACUGACUUUCCCUAUCAAAUUUGAUUCGGCUUUCAGGGCUAGCGAGAAAGGUAGAUCCUCUUUCGGUAAUUCCUUAGAUUCAUCUAGAGUGUCAUUGCAAUCCUUUAUCUCAUAUCCCAUACGUCCGCAUCCAAAUCAAAAACUAGGCAAAAUUUCAUAUUUAAAAGGAAUCUAAGAUUUUUCUUGCUUACCUACUAGAAUGAAGAUCCCCCUACGUAAUGGCUUUUGAACAUCUAACUCCUCUUUUAUGUGGCAAAAAUUCCCCCAUUAAUCCUGAGCUAAUGAUUCCUCCAAAAGUGGAUCCAAUUGUAUGUGCAAGGUCUUUUUUGUCACAUUUAGGUGGACAAUUACCUAUUUUAAGCCAAAAAGGAUAUUGAACCAAAUGAAUAUUGCUUAUCUCUAUCGGUUUUUUUAGUUUUUUUUUUAAAUUACCAAAUUUCAUCUAAAAUACCAUGGUCUUCUUGCCAUUAUUAAUUCCAAAUCUACCACAUCUUCAAAUUCAAUCUUGAAUAAGUUUUGGCCAACAAUCUGAGUCUCAAAUUUUUUUUGUUUUCCAAAUACUCUUUAAUUGAGCUCUAAAGCUAUCCAGAUUGUAUGAUUUUGUCAUCCAUACCGUCCCUAAAAGAGUCAACUUUCCAUUGGAGACUACCAGUGAACUUUUGACUGUUAUAUGUACCAAUUAUUCUUCCAGAAGAGAGAUAUCAUCUCUUAACAUAGCUAUCUUCGUCACCACCUACUCACUACCCAACCACAACAAACCUGUUUCUUUGGGAGACUAACGAGAGAGCACUAUUGAGCCGAAAUCUUAUAAUUGAAUAUAAGGUGAGAAAUGAUAUAUUAGAAAAUUAUUGAAUAUUUAUGAGAUAUGAUAUAUAUGCAAUUUCAGCAUUAUUAUGAAUUGUUACAAACCGUGUAUCGAUAAAUAUGAAAGUGAUUAAUAGAUGAUGUUAAUAUUUGUGAUGGCACAUUGACAGUGUGAAUAUAUGUAUUGAUAUUAUAACAUGUGCACGGAAACGAUGAAGUGCCCUUGAAUGAUAAAUAUGUUUAAAAGAAAUGGAUUCAUGAAAUGCUUGGUUGAACCUAGUAAUCACUAGGAUGCAAUUGGAAUGCCAAUAGGGUUAGAAUGCAUGCUUGUACGGGAUUUGCACUUUGAUGCCCUUGUUUGCACUUUGGUGCCCCUGUAUACACUUUAUUGUCUUUAUUCACACACGGUGCCUUCGUUUGCAUAUUUGUGCCCCUGUUUGCACUUCGGUGUCCCUGUUAUGCAUCUAUGAUGCCUUUGGUGUGGUGUAGUUACCCGAGUAUGCGAGCCAAGUUACUAAUUCGUCGGGCUAACUGUGAAUGGAAUUUAUAAAAUUAUUUUAAUGUUAAAGGCUAAUGUAUAGUCAAGAUAUUAGUAAGUAUUAAAUGUUAAAUGUUCAAUGAAUUACUUGAUCCUAUGUGAGUAUCGUUAUAUUGAUGAUUAUUCAGUUAAAGAUAUAUGUUUAUAUACAUAUAUAAAUGAGUUUGGGUUGAAUUAUUAUAGUACAGGAAGCAUAUGAUGAAUCAUUUUCAAUACUAAGCCUAUAAGUGCUUCGUAAAUGUAUAACAGAUAUGAUUAAUUUAUUCAUUUAGAUUUAAUCUUGUUUAGUGAAGGUAAGUGAUUCCAGAAUGACAUGUUUAUAGGAAAGUUUGAGACAAAUGAUGAAUUAUAGAAUGAUUAUUAGUUAAAUGUGAAAGAGUUACGUUUAAGUGCACUAGCUUGUGGUUAUGGUUGAUGUUUAUACUUAUAUCUUGUGAGUUAUGCAAAUAAAACAAGUGAGAUUAGAUAUGGAAAUGAUAAGUUCAUAGAUGUGACCAAAUAUGAUGAAAUAAAAAGGAUUGUCGAGUUAAAGGACUUACUUGUAAGAAAGGAAAUUACUUAUGAUAUAUGUGACUUUACAUAUCUCAUGAAUAGAUAUACUGAUUCAUGAAUUGAUACAUAAUUAAGCUUAUGCUAAGUAAUUGGAAUAGUAAGUAAAUAAAUGAAAUGGUUCAUUGUUUUAAGAAAAGUUUGAUGAUUAUGUAAUUCAGCUUAUAAGACUUUAUUAUGGUAUAAAUAGAAAGUAUUAGGGAUGUUAAUAAACCUAUUCAUUUGUGAGUUGAUAGUUAUAUAGUUUGAUAAAUCUUAAAGCAUUGGUAUAGGUUUAUUUAUGACUUAUAAAGUUCAUAUUUAAAAAUGGAAUGUUAUGUUUAAAAUUUAUACGAAUUUACUAAGCAUUCAUUGCUUAUGUGGUUGUCUUUCUCUUACUUUACAGAUUAUCAGAAGCUCGAUCGGUUUGGAAGCUAGUUAGAGAUCUAUCACACUAUCCAACGAUUAUAAUGGUAGAUUUUGAUGUUCUGAUCAAAGUUAUAAUGGCAUGUAUAGGUGGACUUGUGUUUUAUGUUAGUUGAUGAGUUUGGCAUGUAUAUGUCAUUUUGGUUGAUGUAACCUUGGUACCUUUGAUGCCUAUUUGGUGUAUGUUAUUUUGAUAAGGAGUUGAUGCAUGUUUGAAUAACCAACUUGGUAUGUUUGAAUGUGACUUUGGUAUGUGGUCAUUGUGGUAAGAUUGGUAUUGAAUUAGGUUAGAAAUGUAUAGUUGAUGAAUGGCUAAAUUAUGCAUAUGUUUAAGUACAUUUGAUCGUUGUGAUUGAGGUGCAUUUGGGCAUAUUGGUUGUAUAGAUAAUUGACAUUUUGAUUUAACUACAUUAUGUAUGUUUUAGGUAUUUUUUUUGAAUGUUUGAAAUAGGUACAAAUGGUUUGUAUGUAUGAGCAUGUUUAGAGUGAAUGAAAUGGCUUGAAAAUGGCAUAUUUCUCGUCCACACGGCCUAAGACAUGGGCGUGUGUCUCAGCUGACACACGGUCACGCAAAACAGCUAUGUCUCUUGUAGGUUUUUAUAUGUUGCUUUUCGAGCAUUACACGGGUUGACACACGGGUGUGUGGCUUGGCCGUGUGACCCGAGUUAAGGAGUCACACAGGCACGGGCUCGAGUUGGGACAUGGUCGUGUGUCUCUCCUUUGAAUAACCACACAGCCUAAGACACGGGCGUGUGUCUCAGUCGUGUGAUUCACACGGCCUAGCCACACAUUCGUGUGACCCUUGUAGUAUGUAUAACAACCCAUUUUUCAGUGAAAAUCGGAACAGUGGUUUCAGAACCACAAAUUCGAUCCGAAAAUAAAAUUUAUUUUUAUUUUAUUACAUGGUCCAUAAUAUGUUGGAAAGGUCAUGUGAAAAUCCCGAUAAGAAAAUUUUAUCGAUUAUGUGUCUAAUUAAGGAAAGGACUAAAUCGCAUAAAAUGUAAAAGUUAAAUUCUAGUAGCUAUAAGGAUUAAAUAGUUAUGGAAUUCAAAAAUAGAGGUCCUUAUAUGGUAAUUAGACUAUUAACGAAAAGUAUGUAGAUAUUUUGGUGAGUCAUCCAUGGAAAUUAAGAAAAAGGGCAAGAACUAAAUUGGAAAUUGAAAAAUAUUUAAUUAAUUAAAAGAUGAUAAAAGAUAUCGUCUUAUUUCUUUUAUUUAAUCUUUAACCUAAAAUACAUGGAAACCCUAGGAGAGAGAGAAUAAACUUUCAUGGCUUAAUUGGGUAAGUUUUCUUGUCCCGUUUUUAGUAAUUUCGAUAUUUUUAAAAUCGAAAUAGUUUAAUCUAUCUAUUUGGGGGUCAAUUUGAAAAGUUAUCAACGUAUAAAAAUUGGGUUAUGGAUGAAUAUGCUAAAAAUUAAAAAUUUAUGGUAGAAAAUGAAAGGUUGUUGAUAGAUAAACAACUUUUACAAAGUGAUUUUGGAUGAAAACAUGAUUUAGGGACUAAAAUGUAAAGUUGAGAAAUUUGAUGAAAAAUUCUAAAUUUUUAUGAAUACAUGUGCUGUAAAUUUUGUGAUGGGAUUUUGGUUAGGCUUGGAACAGGGAGUAAAUUGCACAAAUUUCAUUUUUCGAGCAUAGGGACGAAAUUGAAUUUAUGGAAAAGUUAGGGGUAAAAUGGUAAUUUUGCCUAAGACAUAAAUUGGGUCCAAAUGAAUAUGAAAUGUGUGAAAUUGAUGGUUAAAUUCAUUUAUAUAGAUCCGGACAACACAAAUUCGAGAUUAGAUCGAGGAAAAGAAAAGGUUUCGGAUUAGUAGAUUAUAUACACAAACAAGUGUUGAGGUAAGUUCGUGUAACUUAAUCGAGCAUGUAAAUAUGUUAACUUGAAUGUUAUGAUUGUAUGCAAUAUGAAUUAUAUUUAUGUGAAUGUUAUAAAUGUGUGAAAUGAUUACAUGUUCGGAAAUGUUGGAAAAAGGGUAAAGUCUCGUUUGAAUAUUAAAUUUCGAUGGAUAAAUGUGUUUUCCCGAAAUGAAUGAGGUCCUACAUUUGUUGCUGACGGGAUUUAGCUUGGAAAAGUAAUCCUAUUGAUCUCAUUAUAGAAAGGAUUUAGCCCGAAUGGGUAAUCUUGAUAUAAUCUCUCUCAAGCAUAUGAUUACAAUUAGGGUUUAGCCUGGACUGGUAAUCCUAAUUGAGUUCUUUUGAACAUACGUUACAUAAUGGAUUUAGCCUGGACUAGUAAUCCUGUAAUACGAUAUGUGGCUCGAGAGCGUGGUCCUUGAUUUAGUGCCCUAUGGGUACUCUUGAAUAAGAAUUAACAGGUUAUUGAAUCGUACACCUCAAGUGUACUACUUGAGUAUCCAUCGAAAUUUCAAAGAUUCAACGGACAAAACUCUUGGCAUGAUGAGAGAAUUAUGAGAUGAAAUGAUAAUGUCUUGAAAGAAUAUUGCAUGAUGAUCUCAUUUAUGUUUACUUGAUGUAUAUGAAAAUUUUGUGACUAACAUGUUUGAUUGAAUGCAUGUGUUUAGGCAAUUUUUCCAAGUUGAUGGAAAACAUGAUAUUGUAUGCUUAGAUUUAAUAAACGGGAUUGGUAAGUUUAGUUUCCAUUAUACGAACUUACUAAGCAUGUAAUGCUUACUCCAUUUUAUUUUCCCCUAUUUUAUAGUGCUUAGAAGCUCACGAAGGUUGGAGGUCAUUGGAGCAUCAUCACACUAUCCACUAGCUCAUUUUGGGUAUAUAUAGUAAAAUCAUUUUAGUAUGAUGGCAUGUAUAGGCUAACUUGGCCAUAGAUGGCUUAAGUAUGUGGUUUGUAAUCUAGCCAUUGGAAUGGCUAGUAAUGGUUGUUUUUUGAUAUACUUGUAAUGUCAUACUAUGGUAGUUAUAUACAUGUUAAUAGUUGUUCGAAUUAUGCCUAACAUUUGGAAUAUACCAAGGUAAGAUUAUAAACAUACAUGCAUGUAAUGAUAUGUCAUGUUGAAUGAUAAAGUUUGCUUAAUUUGAAUGCUUGAAAUGGUUGGUAUUUGGAUGUGAGUUUAAGUGCAGGUAAUUGGUGUGAUUUUGGG
rnacentral:lncRNA from 1 species